rnacentral:rRNA from 1 species
UGGGGAAUAUUGCACAAUGGGCGCAAGCCUGAUGCAGCCAUGCCGCGUGUAUGAAGAAGGCCUUCGGGUUGUAAAGUACUUUCAGCGGGGAGGAAGGUGUUGAGGCUAAUAACCUCAGCAAUUGACGUUACCCGCAGAAGAAGCACUGGCUAACUCCGUGCCAGCAGCCGCGGUAAUACGGAGGGUGCAAGCGUUAAUCGGAAUUACUGGGCGUAAAGCGCACGCAGGCGGUCUGUCAAGUCGGAUGUGAAAUCCCCGGGCUCAACCUGGGAACUGCAUUCGAAACUGGCAGGCUAGAGUCUUGUAGAGGGGGGUAGAAUUCCAGGUGUAGCGGUGAAAAGCGUAGAGAUCUGGAGGAAUACCGGUGGCGAAGGCGGUCCCCUGGACAAAGACUGACGCUCAGGUGCGAAAGCGUGGGGAGCAAACA